rnacentral:lncRNA from 1 species
CCAUAUGAUAGUAUACAGUACCACAAAACAUAUAUCGUUUUGUCUUCGUGGUUUUCAACAUGCUACUUAUAGCCACAAAUGCAUAAUAUUUUUAGACAAAUAGUUAUAAAACAUAACUUCUAAAACAAAAAUAGCAAAGAUACAAUAUAGCUACCAGUUUAAACUCAGAUUCUGUAACAUAGCCUAACUACAGGUUCUCCACCAUAUCGAAGGUCUCAGCCAUCUCAAAGCAGCCAUUGGUUAGACUUGAUGAAAUGA